rnacentral:rRNA from 1 species
UUUAAACCCAAAGAAUUUGGUGGUACUUUAUUCCAUUCAGAGGAACCUACCCCGUGAUUGAUAGUACACGAUUAACUUUACUUAAUUUAUUUGUUUGUAUAUCUCCGUUAUCAGAAAAUCUUUUUAGAGAUUAAAUUUUCAUAAUUUAUUAUUAUAAAAUAUUUCAGGUCAAGGUGCAGUUUAUAAUUAAGAGGAGGUGGGUUACAAUAAAUUUUUGUUUAUUACGGUUAUUUUAAUGAAAUAUUAAAAUUUAAGGUGGAUUUGAUAGUAAAUUAACUUAUUUAAUUUAAUUGAUACU